UUGCCCCUAAAACUUAAAAUAUAUCGGUAGUUGGCAAAGCCAAAACCAAAUAGGGCAUAGAAAAGGAGAAAAAGAAAAGGAGAACAGCUGAUUGACCAAAACAAAACGGUAGAGCAAAUUAAGCACACGUUGUUUUUGGAUCGCCGUUUCAGGGGAAAAAUAAUUUCAUUCCCAGCCAAAAAUUUGCCGCGGAAAAUAUGCAACGUCCGUUUAGAUUGUUUCGGUUUCCAAAAGUCACAAGGAAGAAAUCACUUUAGUUGGCGUGGAAGAACUACAAGUAUGAGAUUUAAGAAAAACCCCAGGACCGCACCAAAAACACAACCACUUCACUUGAAAUCAGUACUUGUUGAUAUUUAUAUAUACAGACUAACUCCGAAACAACGGUUGACAUAAUCGCCUAGCAGAAACCGUAAUUCGAGUACCCAUGGAUCAGUUUGGCAACAAGUUUACUCUAGUUGAUAAUGUGUUUCCCAGAGAGGCCGUACAGUGCACACCGAAGACGUUAUCAUUGCUGAUAUACGGCCCCAAUGGCUGCGAAAAAUGGUCGAAGCUUUGACCUCUCGGCUGGAAUUUACUUGAGCUAGUCGCGGGUAUCACUUGCUCUAAAUUAUUUUUGAAGCAUAAUGACAAGCCCUUGUCUGUAUAAUAAAGUUGAAAUCUUGGCCAAAUAUUAAAAUUUAUGCGUUUUAUUUCUUCUUGAAAACCACAUGUCUGAAAAACACCCUUAACUAUACGAUUGGAUUAAUUUUUUAGUCGGGGCGAAAACAAGCUCUAAAUUUCUAAUUUCCAAUUCUAUUGUACUUCAUAUUCCAUUUACACCUAAGUUAUGCCCUUAAACCGCUUGCGUUUUGUUA